rnacentral:rRNA from 1 species
UACGGAGGAUGCAAGCGUUAUCCGGAAUGAUUGGGCGUAAAGCGUCCGCAGGUGGCUAUGUAAGUCUGCUGUUAAAGAGUCUAGCUCAACUAGAUACAAGCAGUGGAAACUACAAGGCUAGAGUACGUUCGGGGCAGAGGGAAUUCCUGGUGUAGCGGUGAAAUGCGUAGAGGUCAGGAAGAACACCGGUGGCGAAGGCGCUCUGCUAGGCCGUAACUGACACUGAGGGACGAAAGCUAGGGGAGCGAAUGGG